rnacentral:tRNA from 1 species
GGGAAGAUACCGAAGUGGAAAACGGAACGGUCUGUAAAACUGUUGGAUUAGCUUUCGUGGGUUCGAAUCCCACUUGUCCCACAA